AGACGCCUGAUCAGGUUUGUAAUCACCCGCAUGCACAUGCUAUCGUUUAACUUCGCUGCUUUAUUGAUAAACAGAGUUAAAUAAUGUCGUUACGUAUACAGAAACUACUCGUUGAGUCUACGUGUUUGCAAAUAAUAGAUUAAGGAAUAUCGGUAUUUCCAACAUUCUUCUCGUUCCGUUUAAUAUGUAAAUGGUUUGCUAAUUUAUGUGGGACUCUUCACCGAUUUACCGAUGCGUAUUAAGCAUUGUAUUUGUCUGGCGUGAUGUUUCAGCAAACACGAAGCUACUGGGCUUAUUACAAAAUUGUGAAACCUACUUUUCUAGCGCUUUAAAUAUAUAUUCCUGCCAUCGAGCACGAUCUAAACCCGAACUGCGUGGCUGAUACGUCACAUUCAGGAGGACAAACACUUAACGAUGUGUGCUUUCAAGUCCAGACCAUAAUUUGAAACAAUCGUGGCACAACAGCCAAUGCACGAAUACAAUAUACGCAGAUAUGCGAAAUUCUCGCGUGGGUCACCUGGAGGAGAAUUUCCGUACCUGGGAACUCCCGUUAGAUGAGAUAAUCGGUAGGUUUACUUACUUUUCAUACAAUUUUGCGCAAUGCUGCUGAGAAAGUUGCAAAGUUCAAAAAAUAGAGGAUUCGAAGGGGACGAAUUCAACGACACGUGGUUCAAGAUCAUACAAGGCCAAUCAAGAUCAAUCGAGGUCAACGAUGGUUAACCAAAGUCAGUGCAUGGCUAAUCAGAGCAGAUCAAGGUCAAUCGGGGUCAUUCAAGGUCAUUCAAAAUCGUACAACGUCAAUUGUGAACGUAUUAGUUUGGAACAGGUUCAUUUUAACAUUUCAGAAAAUUUUUUAUUCUUUCAAAUUUUUAUAUAAAGUGUUGAAAAAUGUUACACGUAAUUGUUCAAUGUUUAAAAUGAAAUCUAUUUGGUAGUAAAUAAAGCAUCUUAUAAAUGCUUUAGAAGACUGUGUAUUAACGUAAAUAAAUAUUGGAAAACAGUUUUCCGCAAACUCUUUGCCAUUUUCUUCGUCGUUAAUGCGAUUGUUUAUCUGGCAUACAUUUAAGUUCAUAGAAUAUAUCGUGUACAUUUGAAUCUCACCGUGAACGUGUGCACGCACUAUCUCGAAAUAUUCGACGCAAUUACUGAUAAAUUGAUACGAUUCGAUACGAUCAGCGGGUGACAAACUUUCAGGAAAGCAAUCUAUCGGUUACAAAAUUAUAGCGGUAGAAAUCACGAUUGCGAAACAGCAUGUAUCGACUUUUCGAAAUUUCAAACAUCUUCAGCUGUUUCAACAGUCAUUAAACACGUAUCGUGUAAACUAACGAGAGAGGUUAGGCUGUGGGAAUUAUAAUUAGUC